AGAGUUUGAUCCUGGCUCAGAGCGAACGCUGGCGGCAGGCUUAACACAUGCAAGUCGAGCGGGCGUAGCAAUACGUCAGCGGCAGACGGGUGAGUAACGCGUGGGAACGUACCUUUUGGUUCGGAACAACACAGGGAAACUUGUGCUAAUACCGGAUAAGCCCUUACGGGGAAAGAUUUAUCGCCGAAAGAUCGGCCCGCGUCUGAUUAGCUAGUUGGUGAGGUAAUGGCUCACCAAGGCGACGAUCAGUAGCUGGUCUGAGAGGAUGAUCAGCCACAUUGGGACUGAGACACGGCCCAAACUCCUACGGGAGGCAGCAGUGGGGAAUAUUGGACAAUGGGCGCAAGCCUGAUCCAGCCAUGCCGCGUGAGUGAUGAAGGCCCUAGGGUUGUAAAGCUCUUUUGUGCGGGAAGAUAAUGACGGUACCGCAAGAAUAAGCCCCGGCUAACUUCGUGCCAGCAGCCGCGGUAAUACGAAGGGGGCUAGCGUUGCUCGGAAUCACUGGGCGUAAAGGGUGCGUAGGCGGGUCUUUAAGUCAGGGGUGAAAUCCUGGAGCUCAACUCCAGAACUGCCUUUGAUACUGAAGAUCUUGAGUUCGGGAGAGGUGAGUGGAACUGCGAGUGUAGAGGUGAAAUUCGUAGAUAUUCGCAAGAACACCAGUGGCGAAGGCGGCUCACUGGCCCGAUACUGACGCUGAGGCACGAAAGCGUGGGGAGCAAACAGGAUUAGAUACCCCAGUAGUCC
rnacentral:rRNA from 1 species